AAUGGCGGAAGAGAGGCCGGGGCCGGCGGCCGCGUGGGUUUUAAAUCCACGUGGUGGCGGGGGACGGAGGGCGGGGCGCUCAAGAAUGGGGAGCGGGUGGAGGCUGCGGAGCGGCUCUGGGGCUUGGUUCUGCUAGGAAAGACGGCCUUGCAGAGCCUGUUUAUAUCAGUAGGGUUUCUGAGGUCCAGGGGACUCGGCGGGCGCUACCCGAGCGUGUGCCGGGCGGUCUUGCUAGGAGAGGGCAGGACACGCGAGAGCAGGGGUAACCGCACGCGUGCCCUCUGUAACCACCGGCGGACGGCUCAGUCACCCCCCCUCUGUCUGCCUCCUCCGCCACAUCGGAGCUCCCACUCGUCUCUUCCACGGUGGGGGCGGGGUCCCUGGGCCUCUUGGAAGGUGUGACAUUCGAGCCCAGCCAGCUGCCUUCCACAUAACAACGGGCUGUCCCCACUCGACUUUAUUUCUCACUGUACUGGGACAUAGACAAAGUGCAAGCUACAGUGGGGUCUCAUGGAGAACUGCCUAUGUAACCGCCAGCCAGAUUAAGGGAGAAGCCAAACCUACAUUCCCUGUGUGUCUCUUCCCAAGAGUCUGCAAAGCUGACCAGCUGGGAUGGAGGGGAUCCUCACCGAUGCAGGAGGGAGCUGUGGACCACAAGUCACAAGACCCGAGUUAUUGUCUGAGUCCAGUGUUGGGUGGGCAGCUACCAGCCAUUUCUAGGAAAGACAAAUACCGAGAUGACCUGUGCCGAAAGGUACAAUGCAGCCCUGACCACACACAUGCUUUGGAUGUCGAGGUUUUAUUGCGCUGUCUGCGGUAGCACCUGGCACAGAGUAGGUGCACCAUAAAUUGAACGUGAGUGAAAAAUUGAAUAUGAUUCCUGUACGCCAAGAGUCACAAACUACAGCCAGUGGGUGAAAUCCAGUCCGCUGCCUGUCCUUGUAAGGUCGUUCUAUUUUAAAUUGUUGGAAAAAAACAAAAGAAUGA